ACAGAGGGGGCAAGCGUUAUUCGGAAUUAUUGGGCGUAAAGGGCGCGUAGGCGGCGUCUCAAGUGGAUGGUGAAAUCCCCGGGCUUAACCUGGGAACUGCCGUCCAAACUGAGAGGCUUGAGUCCGGGAGAGGUAAGUGGAAUUCCCAGUGUAGCGGUGAAAUGCGUAGAUAUUGGGAGGAACACCAGUGGCGAAGGCGGCUUACUGGACCGGAACUGACGCUGAGGCGCGAAAGCGUGGGGAGCAAACAGGA
rnacentral:rRNA from 1 species